CCUACGGGUGGCAGCAGUGAGGAAUAUUGGUCAAUGGACGAGCGUCUGAACCAGCCAAGUAGCGUGAAGGAUGACUGCCCUAUGGGUUGUAAACUUCUUUUAUAUGGGAAUAAAACGUUCCACGUGUGGGAUUUUGUAUGUACCAUAUGAAUAAGGAUCGGCUAACUCCGUGCCAGCAGCCGCGGUAAUACGGAGGAUCCGAGCGUUAUCCGGAUUUAUUGGGUUUAAAGGGAGCGUAGGUGGAUUGUUAAGUCAGUUGUGAAAGUUUGCGGCUCAACCGUAAAAUUGCAGUUGAAACUGGCAGUCUUGAGUACAGUAGAGGUGGGCGGAAUUCGUGGUGUAGCGGUGAAAUGCUUAGAUAUCACGAAGAACUCCGAUUGCGAAGGCAGUUCACUGGACUGCAACUGACACUGAGGCUCGAAAGUGUGGGUAUCAAACAGGAUUAGAUACCCUAGUAGUC
rnacentral:rRNA from 1 species